rnacentral:rRNA from 1 species
AUUGAACUCUUGCUGCCUGCCUAACACAUGCAAGUCUCACUAGUGGCGGACGUGUGAGUAAUGUCUGGUAAACUGCCUGAUGGAGGGGGCUAACUACUGGAAACGGUAGCUAAUACCGCAUACCAUCGGAUGUGCCCAGAUGGGAUUAGCUAGUAGGUGGGGUAAAGGCUCACCUAGGCCACGAUCCCUAGCUGGUCGGAGAGGAUGACCAGACACACUGGAAAUGAGACACGGUCCAGACUCCUAAGGGAGGCAGCAGUGGGGAAUAUGGCACAAUGGGAGCAAGCCUGAGGCAGCCAUGAAGAGUGUAGGAAGAAGGCCUGAGGGUUGGAAAGUAAGUUCAGCGGGGAGGCGUUACCCGCAGAAGAAGCACCGGCUAACUACGGGCCAGACGCCGAGGUAAUUC